GCCCAAAUUACCGGCGCUAAGACACAACAUAAUGGAUCACGCUAAGUUGGCACUGAUGCUAUAGUGCCCUAAGGUGCUGCUGCAUCUUCAGCUACCAGAAGGCAAGUACAAGUGAAGAUAACGUCGAAGACGUGCCGUGCUCCCCUUUCAUCAUUGGCAAAGGGCAGCCGCCGCACUCAACCCUGACAGAGGGAGCAAGGUCGAGAAGUCAAGGAAGCACCGCUGCCUCACACCACAAAUGACCAACUUAAAGCUCUGCGAGACUAUGAAUGCUAAGUGUUUCAACGAAAAAUUUGCAGUGUCAUUAUGAAUAUACCGUAUUUACUUGAAUCUAAGCCGAUUU